CGGAGGUGAGGAAGUGUUCGAAGGAUUUUUCAGAGGCUUAUUCCCUGCCUGUUUCUCUUCAUCUUCUGAUAAACACUUGUGGUUUUCAUAACCUGCCAGUGAGUUCAGAGGGGACUGCCUGUUGCUCUAACUCCAGACAGAAUAAGCACCGUGCAAAAUCGCAAGAACACAGUAAAGAACCCCAGAGGUCAGAACAGUCAUUUACUGCUCUCAAAUUGCUCGUGGUGUUUGUGCUGUCUGGAAAUGAAGCUUGAAAGGACGUGGACUUAGAGCCAAAUACAGAAACACCAGCACCAUCACAUUUUCCAGAGAUUUGCCCCGAGACUGCUCCACUGGUAGCGGAAAAGUACAUUGUUCAGCAGGCAAUGCCAGAAGUAAGG
rnacentral:lncRNA from 1 species